AACAAGAGAUAGCUGCUGAACAGAGAAUAUAAAUAAAUAGAAAGAGAACAAUGGCCUCCAUUAGUUGUAAUUCAGUCAUUUUUCUCUUUUCCCUUUUAUUUUUUGCUUCUUUAAUCCCAAACUUGGAUGCCAACAUUGCCGAAUUUGACCCUUAUUUGGAAAAGAAAGCUGAAGAAGCCCUCAAAUCUUCUCUUGCUGCUUAUAAUGAAAAUACUGAGGAACUCACCGAAACUUUCAACAGAGAAGUUGGAGAAACAAUCUUAAAUGGCACAAGGAGGUAUCUGAGAGAUAUGAUAUGAGAAUAAUGAAAGGAUAGAAUUUGAAGUUUCUAGUUUUUGAACUUGCCACCAAACUCGUGAUUUCUUAAACUACAUGAUUGUUCAGUCAUUAUAAAGAACAAUCACAGACAUUCGAGAAAAGUAGUUCGGGAUCAUGUUAGAUCUCUGAUUCUCACCUCCAAUUUCAUUAACAAAAGAUAUAAGUUUAUUAUUACAAAAGGUUUUCUAGAGUAAAUUUCAUAA